CAAAAUGCUCUCCACCUUCUUUUCCAAAAAGCAACGAUUUCUCUCCUCUUUAAUUCCAUUACCACCCAUCGUUACCAUCACCGCCACCAACACCGUCCCCCACCACUAUCAUCAUCACCAGCAUCACCGCCACUGUCUUAUGCAGUCAUGGUUAGUUCAUCUUGCUCUCUGGAAAUCGUUUCAUCGCAAUUUCCCAAGCUAUGCCUGAAAGGAAAUCGCCUCAAUUGCAUGUCUACUAAAUCUUAUGCAGACAUGGUUACUUCCCGUUAAAUCUUCCAAUUGCAUGCCUCAAUUUACUCCAGGUCAAAGGAUGCGAAAACAUUCUAUUCAUGCAAGAGUGGUGGCGGAAAUUAAAAUUUAGGUGCAAUACAGGCAGUGUUGUGUUACCUGAUAAUAAAGAGAAAAACUUUCUUUAAUUGCAGUGUAUCAUAUUUUUUGGAACAUGAACUGCAAACACUAUUGUUUGCCGACGUGCAACGCACGUGCACUCUACUUGUAUUUCGUAACACUAGUAUCUACUAGUCAGGAAAUUCGUUAAAU